rnacentral:misc_RNA from 1 species
GAGACCUUACGAUCAAAGACCGAUGAUUGCUUGUGAUAAAUGUGAUGAAUGGUAUCAUUUUGAUUGCAUCAAGUUAUCCUCACUACCAAAGAUCUACAUCUGCCCUGCAUGUUGUUGCAUGGAAGGAGAGGAUUUUGCCUCAAUGUCAACAAGCGGCGAAGAAAAGGUUGUCGGUGGCAAACAUGAGGUACCUCAGACACCUUCUCCGCGACACAGAGAAUCAAGAAGGAGAUCAAGAAAAACGAAAUGGGAGAGAAC